rnacentral:rRNA from 1 species
GUGGGGAAUAUUGCGCAAUGGAGGCAACUCUGACGCAGCCAUGCCGCGUGCAGGAAGAAGGCGCUACGCGUUGUAAACUGCUUUUAACCGGGAAGAAACCCCAGGACGUGUCCUGGGUUGACGGUACCGGAGGAAUAAGCACCGGCUAACUUCGUGCCAGCAGCCGCGGUAAUACGAAGGGUGCAAGCGUUAUCCGGAUUCAUUGGGUUUAAAGGGUGCGUAGGCGGAGCGUUAAGUCAGUGGUGAAAUCCUGCAGCUUAACUGUAGACUUGCCAUUGAUACUGGCGCUCUUGAGUGCGCUUGAAGUGGGCGGAAUGUGCCGUGUAGCGGUGAAAUGCUUAGAUAUGGCACAGAACACCAAUUGCGAAGGCAGCUCACUAAGGCGAUACUGACGCUGAGGCACGAAAGCGUGGGGAUCGAACAGGAUUAGAUACCCUAGUAGUCC